CUCGUUAAACUUGCAAAGAAAGAAAUCUGUGAAAAUCGAACGCUAAACGUUGUUUCAGCCAGCAAAGUUAUGUUCGUAUUUAUUUCCUGACACUCUAAAAAGUAACCAGCCUUUGCUAUAUCAUUCUGCAUUCAGUAUAUCCACUGUUAAGCCAAUUUUUGCCAGGAAGGCACGACAUCAUUGCGCGCCGAUGACACGGGCGGUGUUCACUUGAUUGACUGUAUCUUUGUCCAAUGACCACCUAUCGUUUUAAAACCUAGCUAGCUAGAUAGCCAAUGAGCUGCGCUUUACGUGAGUAAGUGGAACACCUUUGUGUGAAGAAAAAUCUUUCAGCUAACCUCGCGCAAAUAAGUGGCCUUUGGCCAUUUAUGCAAGAGCAUGUCGAAGCGCGUUAUGCCAAUCUGUGAGAUAUGGAUACUAAUACUGGAAAAGCUAAAUCAAAGUCCAGGUAUAGAGAUUUUGGAUGAUAUUCUAGCAGAAAUCUACCGGGAAAGUGUCAUGGACUCAGUUAGUGAAUAUAGUUUAGACAACAGCUAAAGGAGAGGAUGCGACCUUAGACUGGACCUGAGCCCUAGGACCAUACGUCGGGACUACCGGGCGUUGUGACUCCUUGCUGUCCCCAGUCCGCCUGGCCUUGCUGCUAUUCCAGUUUCAACUGCUCUGCCUGCAGUUAUGGAACCGCCACCUGUCCCAGACCUGUUGUUUUCAACUCUUAAUGAUCGGCUAUGAAAAGCCAACUGAAAAUUAUUCAUGAUUAUUAUUUGACCAUGCUUGUCACUUAUGAACAUUUUUGAACAUCUUGGCAUAGUUCUGUUAUAAUCUCCACCCGGCACAGCCAGAAGAGGACUGGCCACCCCUCAUAGCCUGGUUCCUCUCUAGGUUUCUUCCUAGGUUUUGGCCUUUCUAGGGAGUUUUUCCUAGCCACCGUGCUUCUACACCUGCAUUACUAGCUGUUUGGGGUUUUAAGCUGGGUUUCUGUACAGCACUUCGAGAUAUUAGCUGAUGUACGAAGGGCUAUAUAAAAUAAACUUGAUUGAACUUGAUAUAUAUAUAUAUAUAUAUAUAUAUAUAUACAGUGGGGAGAACAAGUAUUUGAUACACUGCCGAUUUUGCAGGUUUUCCUACUUACAAAGCAUGUAGAGGUCUGUAAUUUUUUUCAUAGGUACACUUCAACUGUGAGAGACGGAAUCUAAAACAAAAAUCCAGAAAAUCACAUUGUAUGAUUUUUAAGUAAUUAAUUUGUCUUUGGAGACAUUGGAUCAGCAUUCUUGUCAUGUCUCCUGUUAGUACAUUUUAUGUAGGGAAGCUACAUGUAGGGAAGCUACAUGUAUGACAUUCCUGGGAGUGUGUAAACUUGUAUUUUUUACUAGCAUAGCAUUUUUGUAUGUUUUCUAUAGUUAUGUUCUUGAAAAAUUACCAAUUCGGCCACUUGGGUACAUUUGUGAAAAUCGUGAGGGACACCUGGGUGACUUCAUACUAAAUGUCAUGUAGCUUGCUCAUUCUUGAAGUUAUCAGUCAAACUUUGCACAUACACUGUUGCCCUCUUGUGGACACCAUCUAAAUUACAUCCAACUUCCUAGCUGAAUGUGUGGCUUUUCCUUUUCAUGUCAAAGAUGAUGCAACAAAAAUAGAAAACUUGUGUUUUUUUUUUAUUUUAAACUUAUUUUACUAGGCAAGUCAGUUAAGAACAAAUUAUUAUUUUCAAUGAUGGCCUAGGAACAGUGGGUUAACUGCCUUGUUCAGUGGCAGAACGACAGAAUUCUACCUUGUCAGCUCGGGGAUUUGAUCUUGCAACCUUUCGGUUACUAGUCCAGCGCUAUAACCACUAGGCUACCUGCCGCCCCUCUAACCACUAGGCUACCUAUAUUUUACCAGAUCUAUUGGGUUAUGUUCUCCUACAUUAAUUUUGUGUUUCCAUUCAAAUGAUAUCAAUAAUAUGCAUAUCCUUGCUUCAGGUCCUGAGCUACAGGCAGUUAGAUUUGGGUAUGUCAUUUGAGGCGGAAAUUGAAAAGAAGGGCCUGAUCCUUAAGAGAUUUUUAAACAGCCACCACUAGCACAGAGGGGCAGCUGCCUACCUACAGACUUGAUAUCAUUGGUCACUUUAAUUAAUGGAACACUAGUCACUUUAAUAAUGCCACUUUAAGAAUGUUUACAUAUCUCGCAUUACUCAUCUCAUAUGUAUAUACUGUAUCCUUUACUAUCUAUUGCAUCUUAGCCACUCUGUCACUGCUCAACCAUUAUAUUUUAUACUUAUAUAUUCUUAUCCCAUUCCUUUACUAGAUUGUGUGUAUUAGGUUUGUUGUGGAAUUGUUAGAUACUGCUGCACUGUCGGAUCUAGAAGCAUAAGCAUUUUGCUACACUCACAAUAACAUCUGCUAAACAUGUGUAUGUGACCAAUAAAAUUUGAAGUUGGUUUGGUAGCAUAAACUGA